rnacentral:rRNA from 1 species
GACGAACGCUGGCGGCGUGCCUAACACAUGCAAGUCGAGCGGUAACAGGUGUAGCAAUACAUGCUGACGAGCGGCGAACGGGUGAGUAAUGCUUCGGAAUCUGCCCAUGUAGUGGGGAAUAACCAGCCGAAAGGUUGGCUAAUACCGCAUACGACCCUUGCCCGCAAGGCAAAGGUGAAAGCAGGGGAUCGCAAGACCUUGCGCUAUUGGAUGAGCCGAAGUCGGAUUAGCUAGUUGGUAGGGUAACGGCCUACCAAGGCGACGAUCCGUAGCUGGUCUGAGAGGACGACCAGCCACACUGGGACUGAGACACGGCCCAGACUCCUACGGGAGGCAGCAGUGGGAAUAUUGGACAAUGGGGCAACCCUGACCCAGCGACGCCGCGUGUGUGAAGAAGGCCUGCGGGUUGUAAAGCACUUUUAGUGGGA